AGCUACUAAUAGUUCCACCAAAUUUAUCUAGAACUUUAGAGGUCUAAAACAACUUCAUCUACUAAUUCUUGGAGAAUAUGCCUAGCAACUUCAGUGCCACAUUCAUAUUCUUCAAUCUCGAAGUCCGUACAUUUACACAAAGAAUGGCUCAUAUCCCGUUCUAUUAGCACGUCUGGGAUCAAACCAACAAAUUGUGUCCACUCUUCGACCUCAUCAAGAAUAUCAGCAAUCAGAAUCUCUUUGGUCAUACUUGAUGGUAGUUUGGUACAGGUUCUGAAAACAGAAUCAGAGAUUGGAGAAAAUUUUGGGUCAUUACAGCCAAGCAACUCACCGAAAGCCAUCCACAGAAAACUCGAAAACAUUUCAUGUUCAUUGAGGAGAAAAUGGCUCACAGAGAACCCAUCCUCUACAGGUAGAGCCUGCUGUUGAGGUGUAGUUCCAAAUAUGAGUUCAGGCAUUCAAAAUGACCUGUUUGCGUAGCUGAGUUUGCUUCCUUUUAACUGAUCAAUCUUGCUGAGCACUCCAGAAACGUUAUGAAUCAGUUCUCUGCAACUCCUCCUGGUGGAUAAUGAGGUCUCACAAUCCGAAAGAUCUCUAUCAGGUUCUGGAAGGAGUGGUUCAUCAUCAACAGAGUCCACUGAUUCAGAGCACUUUGUCCUCUGGAAGAAAACAAGCAUCAUAUUUAUUAGAAGCAUGGAUGCAUGAAAUCCAAGUUCAGAGUUGUCUCAUUUUUUAAUUUAUGUAUUUGAGGGAAAGAAAGGAACUAUGCAAAUAGUAAAAUGUCGAAUUGGGGACCAUACUUGAGCUACUAUUGGGACUGCUGGAGAGGUAGCUGUCAGUUGAAUGGUGAUNNNNNNNNNNNNNNNNNNNNNNNNNNNNNNNNNNNNNNNNNNNNNNNNNNNNNNNNNNNNNNNACAUUUAGCUCUAAACCUUUGCAAACCUGGUUCUGAACUCUUUAUUUCGGCCAUCUCAAAAUCCAUAUCUUCUUUAUCAGAUCCGCCAGGUCAAGCACCAAGUUUGUCUGCCACAUUGCUCCAAGUUUCAAAAGCUGAAGCCUUUUGGGGCUUACUACCUGAUCCUGUCGGCAUCGAUUCUAAACCCAUGAGCCUAGCAACCAAACUUGGAGCUUUCAUUUCGCGCUUGCUUUCACGUGUAUCGGUCAUUCCAUUAUUCUUUGCAUUUGGAAAACCCCCACUGUUCUCAUCAGCAAUCUACAUUGUUCAUACAAGAACCAAAAACAAUAAAAACAAAAACUUUCCUGUCAGGCUAAAAUCUGAGACAAUAGAGGAAAAAGAAAGCUAAAUGUGGGAGUAUAGUUCAAGAAAUGAGUACCAAACGAAGCUUUGCCUGCUUCUCAUCCCCUCCAAACUUUUUUGAAGCUUGUUUCAAGCAAGCUAUAAAAAUGCAGCACAAAAAAAAAGAAACAAUUUAGCCCUCUAGCUAGAAUCACCUUCAAGAAAUUAACCAUUCUGCUUUAAAAAUGAGUGGAAUGUAGUAGUAGCUAACCUAGUGAAAGUAGUUUCUUUGGAAACAGCUUUUUGGCAAAUCUACGGUUCCGAUCACAGAGCUGAAAGAAAAUGCCCACACAACCACAUGGCCUUUGAGGUUGUCUCUCAUUCAUUUCUCUAGAUGAGCUAUCAUUCAUCCUUCAAAAUCCUCUCUUAAAUUUCUUCACCUUUUCUCCCACUCUGCUGAAUGUGAUUCACACACUUUGUCUUCCCAAUAAGAUUCUAUCAAACAUUAUCAUCAAAUUAAUUUGGAAAGAAUUAAACAAAAGAACCCCCCACUGGCCCCUCUGCCCACCACAUCACUCACCCUCCUUGCUCCAAAAAAAGAAAAUGGGGAAAAAGAAAUUACAUUUUCAUGCAAGAAACAAAGCAAAAACCCAACAAAAUAUCAGAAAGAAAAUAGAAAAUAGCUAUGAAAAGUAAAACCCUAAGCUGUGUUCAAUUAUGACAAAACUUUCACAAGAAACCACAAUUAAACAAAGCAAACACAGAACAAGAAAAUACAAACAGCAAUACCCAGAAUGUCUUCAACUUGCACCAAAUGUGCUACUGUUCAAGAAAACAGCUAGAAUUGGUUAUAGUACACUCUAGUAAGCUAUUCUUUUCUUUUUUUAAUCUUCUUUAUGACAGCGAAAAAAGUAAAAUCAUAGUUAUUUUAAAUUAGUUCCUAUAGACAUGCUUUCUAUGCUUUGCUAUCACAAAUGCAACAGAAUAAGAAAUAGUACUAAAGUUCACACACAUAUUUCGAACACGGGAUCAAAGAUGAAGACGGAUUCUACAUUUUCGAUGAGGAAGGGUUGCAUGGUUGGAACGCCGAAGGGGUUUGCCGGAGGUAUCGCUGUGGGAGAGAAGUUGAGGCUGUGUCGCGGCUGUUGGACGUUCACUGGAGGGGAGAAAGAAGGCGACUGGAGGACGGAGGAUGGAGCGGCGGUGUGGAGGCUUGGAUGGCCGUCUCCAUCGAUGGCGGCGUUGUUCGCCGGUGGAGGACGAGAAGGGAGGGGGCUGGCCAUUGGAGCAGCGGAUGAACUCACCUGGGGUAGGAGCUGGCGGCACGUAUGGAGGGGAAGGAAGAGGCGACGACGAAGGCUGUUCGCCGGAGAUGGCAGCAUGGCGAUGAGGUCUCUGAGCGGAGGGGGUGGUUUUGGUGGUCGACUGGCGUCGAAGAGAUCGGAGGAGGGGGGGGGAGAUCGAGAUUUGGAGGUGUUUGUAGAGAGAGAGAAGAGAGAGGUGGAGAGAUAGAGGCGGAAAUUGGGGAAAAAAAUUUGAGUUAGGGCUUGUAUGCUUGAAAUAGGGAAAUAGAGAUCUUUUGAUGUCAACCGUUGGACUGGUUUUUGAUCGACGGCUAUGAUUUAAUGUCAUGGGGGAAUUAAAAUGUGGCUAUGAUGAAAAAUAAUGGCUUAAAUUGUAAGAAAUUGGCUUAAGAUUUUAAUGGAUUGGGUAAAAAUAGGUUAUAAUUGUAAGAAAUUAAAUAAAAUUGGAUUAAAAGGUAAAAAAAAUCAUACAAGGUAAUUUUGAUUAGGCUGUUAUUUAAAUUAAAGUAGGAAUAAUAAUAAUAUAUGAUAAUAGUAAUUAAAUAAUAAAUAACAACAUUAAAUAAUAAAUAAUAAAAAAUAUAAUAAAAGAUAUAUAAUAAUAAUGAAAAAAAUAAUAAUUAAACAAUAAUUAUAAUAAUAAAUUAUAAAUAAUAAAUAAUAUUAAUAUAUAUAAUAACAAUGUCAAUAAAUAAUAAUAUCAANNNNNNNNNNNNNNNNNNNNNNNNNNNNNNNNNNNNNNNNNNNNNNNNNNNNNNNNNNNNNNNNNNNNNNNNNNNNNNNNNNNNNNNNNNNNNNNNNNNNNNNNNNNNNNNNNNNNNNNNNNNNNNNNNNNNNNNNNNNNNNNNNNNNNNNNNNNNNNNNNNNNNNNNNNNNNNNNNNNNNNNNNNNNNNNNNNNNNNNNNNNNNNNNNNNNNNNNNNNNNNNNNNNNNNNNNNNNNNNNNNNNNNNNNNNNNNNNNNNNNNNNNNNNNNNNNNNNNNNNNNNNNNNNNNNNNNNNNNNNNNNNNNNNNNNNNNNNNNNNNNNNNNNNNNNNNNNNNNNNNNNNNNNNAAGUAUAAGAAUAAAUAAAAAUUUCAACAUUAUUAUUGAAACAAUUAAAUUAUCUUAAAUAUCAACAAUAUCUAAACAAUUCAUUUAUUAUGAAUAUUGAGGAAGUAUUGUCUAAAAUAUAAAUGAAUUAAGUGGACUCAAUGUAAAAUAGUUGAAUAAACCUUUCAAUCUUCUCUAUUUACCCCAUUUGAAUUGGACACAUUCCUUAAUAAAUUCUCUACUCUUGCAAGGUUAAAAGUAAUUUCACUAAUAUAUUUUUAGUUACUAAAAUUUAUACAUUUUUUAAAAAUAAUAAUGAUUAUAUUUUAAUCUUUUAUAUAAAUGAAGACUUUAGUUACUACUAUUUUGUCUUAUUUGAGGAUAUUUUCGUUAACAACACCAACAGUAAGGGUAUUUUGGUAACUAAAACCUCCAAUCAAUGACACUUUUCUGUGUCUUUUGCCUCUACAGUUUUACUUUCCUAAAAUCUUCUUUCAUCUUCAUUUUCUCUGUUUUUCCUUUUUUCCACUGUAUUCCCUGCACACCUUCACACCAAAACACAAGUUUCAAGCAAAAUUCAUGUUCUUAAUCUCAAUGUUUAUUAGUCCAUCAUGAUUUAUUUUUGGUAAGUGCAUCUUUGAUGGUGGAUCAAGUUUUCGAGCAAGUUUUCAUUUGAUGUUUGUUAUAUAUAUGAUACAUGAUGCUAACUAUUUCAAGCCUUAAUCCUUUUAUUUCAAAUCUGUUAUUAUUAUUGAUCUAUUAUACAAAUUAAUUAAUUCAAGUUUUAAUCUAUUUUCUCUAGAUUUGUAGUGAAUAUUGUUAUGGUACUAACUAAUUCAAUUAUCCUUUGGAUAUCUUCUUGUUCUGCGAUACUAAUUAAUUUUUGCUAUCCUUUGGUUUUUUUUACUUGCUCUAAAGAUUGAUUUUUGAUUUACAUUUUCUAUUUACGGAAGAUUGAUUUUAUAAAUUUUUCUUGAGAGUUGUAUAGAGCAAAAGGUUUGAAUCGGACCGACUCAUUGUAACCUACUGGGAACUAUAGAAAGUAAUUUGCGUAUGGAUUGAUGAACAUUGAAUAUCAUAAUACUCCCUCCGUCUCAAAUUAUAUGUCGCCAUUUGACCGGACACGAUAUUUAAGAAAUAGGCAUUGACCUUGCUAAAUUUACUAAAUUACCCCUCUUAAAAAAGUAUUGGACCACUAGGUACUUUUAUCAAAUUUCACAACAAUCAAAAAAAUGCAACAGAGAGUACAGUAUUAAAAAAAAUAUACUAAAAAUAUACACCACCUACAUAACUGUCCCUCUCUUUUGCAAAGAGUUAAGUAGUCCAAAUCAGUGUAUCGCUUUAAUUUAAAAUUUUACUCGCAUUUUCUCUAUCAACAAUUAAGAAAAAUUUGUUAUUGCAAAAUUCAAAUUUCUAGAAAAUAGGACCAAUUUGUCAUCAUGUACGGAUUUUCCACGAAAAAUUUACGUUUCUGAUUUGAUUUUGUUUUCAAUUUUUGGGUGCUAAACGUACUUUUCAUUUGAAUUUUUAUCAAAUGGUUAUUUUGUGGCGCCAAAUCUUCUUUUCAUUUGAGAGAUGUUCUUUUGCAUCUUCUGGUUACUGUAUCCUUUCUUUUGUUUUGGAUAAUUUCCAAAUUCUUCCUUUUAUCUCCUCUCUUAUUUUUUCCAUUACUCUAAAGAUGAGGUUCGUCGUACCUAUAGACUCAACCAUCACAAAUAAACGAUUGAAAUUAGAAGAACGUUAAGCAAUUGCAAAGUUUCUUUUGAAAGAAAGGAAGGAAGGAAGUCGUAAUUAUGGAUCUAUAACACAAGCUGCGAUGUUGUUCAAGAAAUCAAUAAGAACUAUUCAGUGCAUUUGGAAACAACGUCAAUCAUCAGUUGAUAAUGGUAUGUCAUCGUUAGAUGUGUCUUUAAGACUUACAGGUAAAGUUGGAAGAAAACGGAUUGGAGUCGACAUUAAUCAAGUCAAAGAAAUUCCACUUUGUCGUCGAACAAAUAUUCGAUCUCUAGCUUUUGCGAUGAACAUGGCAAAAUCAACCGUCUUUCGGCGUGUGAAAGAUGGAACUCUUCGGUAACAUUCUAAUUCCAUCAAGCCUCAGUUAACCGAAGGAAACAAGAAGGUACGACUUCAAUACUGCCUCUCAAUGAUUGAUCAGAAUACAAUCCACAUAAAUCCCAUGUUUAUGAAUAUGUUUAAUUAUAUUCAUAUCGACGAAAAGUGAUUUUUUUUGUCCAAAAAAUUGAAAGGUACUACCUGCUUCCUGGAGAGCAUGAGCCAGAUCCGUAUCGUUCUUACAAAAGUAAAAAUUUUAUUCCAAAGGUUAUGUUUAUGGAUGCUGUAGCACGUCCUCGAUUUGAUGAAAAUGGAAUUGAGUUGUUUUCUGGAAAAAUAGGUAUUUUUUCGUUUGUAGUUAAGGAACCAGCUAAGCGGAAUAGCAAAAAUCGAACAGCAGGAACUAUGGAAACAAAGCCCAUUCAGUCAGUAACUAAAGAUAUCACUAGAGCUUGCUUGAUAUAGAAAGUUCUUCCUGGUAUUAGAGCAAAAUGGCCAGCUUCCGAUUCAAAUAAUCCUAUCUUUUUACAACAAGAUAAUGCAAGGCCACAUAUUGGUAACAAUGAUUUGGAAUUUAUUGAAGCUGCCCGACAAGAUGGAUUUGGCAUUAGAUUGUGUCUUCAACCAUCGAACAGUCCAGAUUUAAAUGUUUUAGAUCUUGGUUUUUUUAGAGCAAUCCAAAGUCUUCAAUAUCAAAAGGCCCUUAAAAAUGUUGAUGAAUUAGUGGAAGCAGUGGAAAGAUUUUUGAUGAAAUGAAAGCGAAUCAACUCAAUCAUGUAUUUCUUACUUUACAAUCUUGUAUGAUUGAGGUGAUGAAAGAUAGUGGCGGCAAUCAUUACAAAGUGCCUCAUUUGAACAAAAAUGGACUAGAAAGAGAAGAAAACCUUCCUCUCCAACUUCAUUGUGAUAUUGAUAUCGUCAAUAAAGAUUUGGCUCUACUUCAACAAUGAUAUGAGUUAUUAUUAUGGUAAAGCUCUUUAUUUUGAAGUUGGAAUGGUGUUUUUUCAAGUAGUAUGUAGAAGUACUGUACUACUUUUGUGUAUAGCCGUAGUGAUCAUCAUGUAACUUUUACAAUGAUGUUUUGUCAAAUAUGUUAGGAGUACUAUUUUUGUGUACAGACAUGGUGAUCAUAAUGUAUUUUUUGUACACAUGAAUAACUCUACUUACAAUGAUAUAAGUUCCACCAGCUUAUAUAUACUUACACGUCUUUUUCUAGCUUUAUUGUUGUUUUAUGCUUCUAUUUGUUUCUUAUUUUCUUAUCACAUAAUCUGCGUAAAUGGAAGGAACGAGAAAAGGGAAGUGGGAGUCAUACCAUCACAUUUGUAUGAAUUUUUAUUUUUAAACUAGGAAGUCUAUUUCGAGAACAAUUAAUUGAAUGUUAAAGAGUUUGUGCAGACCAAAUAUAUUUGGACAGCAUGGGGAUGUCAAUUGUUCAGGGGAACUAAAUGAAAAUAGUUGAAAUCAAUGUCGCGAUUAUGAGAGACCUUGGUUUAUGCAAAAGGGUGUGGUACAGUUUCACUAAUAAAGGCGGCACCCUCAGCUAUUAUGCAAAGAGCAGUAGCUACGCUCCAUAAAGACAACAUAUUGGGCAUUGUAACAUUUUGGCAGGAUACUCUAAGCUAAUGGUGUCUAUUACAAUUCUUCUCUCGUGAUGAAUAAGAUUAGUAAUCACGAUCCCGAGAAGAGUCAUGUUUUGGUUUCUCCGAGUGACCUUUGUCUAUUGAACGAUGACUCCUUUCCUUAUACUUUUUCUUGUCCCAUUCAAAGUCCGCUCGCUCCCUUUCCCUGUCAGAUAUCCUACCACUAUCACGUUCAUGAGACUUUAGUCUUCCUUUAUCCUUACUCUUGAUAAAAUUUAUUGUGCUUUAUUUGUGACAUUUAUUUUUCUUUCAUGUCAUUGAUUUGUUUUUUCUAUUUAUACUUUAAUGUUUAUGGCCGUUGAAUGGUGUACUGUAUUUGAAAGUUUGCAUCUGAAGUUUUCUUGGUAUUGAUAUCCUCACUUUACGAUGUUAUUCAUUGAGAUAAUGGUAAUUUCCGUGUUAUGUUUGUUAAAUUUGGUGUUCUGUGACUAACUCUCACUGUUGUCGAGUGACUGAACAUUUAAUCAUAAGAUGACAGUGUGAUGAUCUGUGUUUAUGUUGAAAUAUCACAGAACAUGGGCUAGCCUAUGUCCUUCUAGUGAAGCGAGAGCUGAGAAAGGAGAAACGUAAGGUUGUGAAUGGUGGGAAAGCAAAUAGGAGUGUGUCAUCGGUGUUGACCUACCAAAAAAAUGAAAAGGUGGGGCUGUUAACUUUACUGUUUUAUGGUGGUUGUUGAAGACUGGCUUCUUGAAUAGCUCUACGAGAGGUGCAUUGCAUCUGCUUGAUAUUUGUUGGAAACUAAGUAUUCGGUAUGGGAGUAAAUAAGGGCAGAAACUUAAAACAAAAUUGUAGGAAAUUGUUUUGUUGUGUAUUUUCAAUUUUGUGGUAAUACAUGUGAAGUGGAAGUACGUUGAAGCUGAGGUCGACAAUAUUCAAUACUCGAAAGAUUAACGGAAAACAGUUUGCUGUGGAGUGAACAUCAGAUCACGGUGCUUCUAAAAGGAUCAAACAUUCAUCAAGACAAAGUGAAAUGGACAUUUUCUACUCAUGUUUACAGUUUGUAAAAAAUAUGCUUGUUAUACUGCUUGUUCAGACAUACAAUAUUUUCUUACUUGAUGUUGCUGCAUUCGAAUUUGGAAAGCAAAUUACUCGGCUGACUUGUUAAUGUAGGAUAUCAUAUAAUGUGCUAAUGUCGGAAAUGCACUCCUAUCAAUGUACUGUGAGUGUGAAGUAUUGACGAGGCAUAUGACGCAUUAGAGGAAAUAGCGGAGAAGGAUGUUGUCUCUUGGGUAUCUCACUGUCUCAAUCAAUUUUCAGUUCUAAACAAAAGAAGUUUGAUCUUUGUAGUUGUGUUUGUUACUUUUUUCAAUUGUAAGAUGAUAUAUGUGGAAAGUGAGGUCCCUCUAAAUUCUUGUUUUCCUUAACUUUAGCUAAGAAAACUGGUUUACUUAUGUAGAACCAACCAAAAAGAAUAAAUUGCUCUCUGUGGUUUAAAAUAAUUUUGAUACUAUAAAAAUAAAAGGCUGAAAAUUUAAAUUUUGAUUGAAGUGAUAAGACUUUUACUUUAAAAAAACAAAUACUAAAAAAGAAGUAUUAAUAUAUUUAAAAUCAAGUGGGUCCAACAAAGGUAAAAAGGUAAUUGUGCCUUUAAAAAAAUUCCAAAUAAGAAAAGACGACAUUUAUUUUGGGACGGACAAAAAAGGAAAUGACGACACAUAAUUUGGGACGGAGGGAGUAGUAUUUUUAUUUGGUUCGAAGGAUAUCAUGUGCCUCAGCAGAGAAGUAAAGUUCUGCUCUCCUCUCUUUCUCUUACGUAUCCAUUUCUAUAGCUUAACCCUUACUUUUACGAUGUAAGGGCAGAACGCAUGUCAAAAGUUAUUUAAUUUUGCUAUUAUGAGUAUUUUGGGGGGUGCUGGAGACUUAAUUAAAAAGUAUUAAUACUAUGUAAUAUUGAUUGGUAAUAUUUAUGUCUAUUAACAUUCUAAAAUUAAAUUAUAAAAUAUUAUUUUUUUAAAGUGGGUUGGCCCGUAAGGCCCGCAACCCACAGAGUAAUAGUGUGGGCUUGAUAUUUUUUAGCUCAUCAUUUGGAUAGGCUAGCCCAACCUGACCUGUCAAACUCAAAGCCCGUGUGGGCUAGCUCGGAUGGGCUGAGCCAACCUGUAUUGACAUCUCUACCAAAAAAAAACUCUACAUUAUUGAUACUCAAAGAAGACUUUGGAAUCUUGAAGAAUGCACGGAGGCGAAUUCUGGAUUUCAAAACGCGGAUGUAUGAAUGUGAAAUUCAUCAAGAGGACCUACAUUAUGGAUAUUAAACUAGACAAGGAGCCCAGAAAUGGGGACAAAACAAGAACAAAUUCCAUGAAAAUGUGCACCAAGAUCAAAACUAACUUACACACCAGGAUUAUCUAGGCUCUAGGGUACCCCCCACCCCCACGCAAAACUUUCAUCGUCACCCUGUAAGACGAGGCCAACUUAUCGAAGGAUGGACAUUGCUUCAGUUCAUACAACCUUUCGUUAGGUGCUUGUUAGAUCUUAUUAAGCUUUUCUGCUAUGAUGAUAGGAUUCGCUUUUGCUAUUGCAUUCUGACCUACAUUCCUAUAAUCAAACGGGCAGUUGUGUUUGUCUGAAUAAUGAUGAACUGCGCAGAAAAGAUCACCACAUUUACAACUGAACCCCGUUAAUCCCACACGCUUAUGACAAGUUGUGCACUUUUUCAAACCCUCUUUUGACUUCACUUGUGAAAUCUGAGAGGCUAAAUCUGCAGAUGUAACCGCGGCACCUGCAAGAGCAAGUUCUGAUUCAUCGCUGCUUGAGCUUCUACGUAGGACGUCUUUGCUGGAUGCAGCUGCAAGCUUUGCAUGUUCCUUCUUCAAUAGUAUCAUGUCCUUUUGACACUUGGAACACAUAUUCAUCGUAGCUGCACUACCUAAAAAAUCACAGUCGUUGAUGCAGAGGACGGGGUCUUCUGGAGCUCGACAACCUCUCUCUUUAGUUGAAUCCAUUUCUGCAGUUAACAAGUCAAGUUCAACACAAGUGUCACGCCUCAAACCCUAUUGGGACGGACUUGCACCCGUAACCGAGGAGGCCCGGGAGAACCAGCUCAUCACCUUCAAUACUAGUCACAAAUGGACUUCCCGUCUUUUAGGAUUACUUAUCUACAAUGAACAUAUAUAGCAAUCUAGUAUUAGCAACCAAACGUCACAAUUCAAUUAUUUGAAUUCACCAAACUAGUGGUUAAGUAGUAAGCCUUAAUUACACCAUAAAGGGUGUCACUUUAACCCUCUUAUACUCCAAUUACAUUCACAUGCCAUGCAUAUUCAUACAACAUCCUCCAAUAUCAAGUUUGGAUUCAUUUAUCCUUCCAACCAAUCCAUUAAACCAAAUUGAGCCAUAGACAUAAAUAAUCAUCAAUUCAAUAGUAUAUCACCAUAUCCACCUUCCAUAACUCAAUUACCAUAUCCACCUUCCACAAUUCAAUACAACCAAACCAUGCAAAAUAGUCCAUAACCCUAUUUUCAUCACCUUUCAAUAACAACCAAUACAUAUAAUCCUCUAUCACACAUAUACAUAUGGAAGAGAACAAAGGCAAACAAUAUUCAUACCUUAGAAUUCACCUCUUGAUUACGCAAUCCUGUUUGCANNNNNNNNNNNNNNNNNNNNNNNNNNNNNNNNNNNNNNNNNNNNNNNNNNNNNNNNNNNNNNNNNNNNNNNNNNNNNNNNNNNNNNNNNNNNNNNNNNUAAUAGGAGUGGACCACACUUACUAGAACUUGGGACAACCUGUCCAUUCUAUUUAUUCAAUCACUUUACCUUCGUUCUAAUCAUCUUUGUAAUCAUUACUGUACUGUAUUGUGACCAUUAGGCUACCUCCAGUACAUAUCAACUGGUAUCGACCCAUGAUAGGCUUAUGCCCUUGGGAUACCACCCAUAAACACAUAAAUUGGGAUCAACCUAUGAUAGGCUUAUGUCCCUAGGAUACCACCCGAUCAGAGAGAACUUCCAUCACUUAGUUCAAUUAGUUUUUGAGAUUGUUAUUUCGGUCGCCACCCCAUUUUUUUGAUACUUUGAAACAAUGGUACAUCAAUAAGAGACAUAUAAAUAGACCAUCAAUGCAAUAACGAUGAAGUAAGAACUCAUUGGCAGAUCAAUAAAGUGUUUUGGAGACAUCAAUGCCAUAACAAUGAAGUAGGAACUUAUUAGUAUAUCAAUGAAACGUUUUGGAGUCAUUAAUAGCAUAUGGAUCUUGUUUGAGUAACCGGAUACCUUCUGACAUUCAUUAGUGCAAUAAACAUGUAAGAUUUGGAAAAGAAGUAAGUAUUGGAAUGUCUUGACAUCUUGUAGGGUGGAAACAAGUUCAUUGGUAACGUAGGACAUCAUACAAAACCAUUAUGGAUCACAUGUUAUUGAAUAACUUUGAAAACUUUCUUAAUAGAAUAAUUGUUCAAUUUUAUGCCAAAGAUAUGGUAUAGAGUAUGAUUUAGUCAACCUUCAAUACUAGUCCCAAAUGGACUUCCCGUCUUUUCGGAUUACUUAUCUACAAUGAACAUAUAUAGCAAUCUAGUAUUAGCAACCAAAUGUCACAAUUCAAUUAUUUGAAUUCACCAAACUAGUGGUUAACUAGUAAGCCUUAAUUAAACCAUAAAUGGUGUCACUUUAACCCUCUUAUACUACAAUUACAUUCACAUGCCAUGCAUAUUCAUACAACAUCCUCCAAUAUCAAGUUUGGAUUCAUUUAUAUCCUUCCAACCAAUCCAUUAAACCAAAUUGAGACAUAGACAUAAAUAAUCAUCAAUUCAACAGUAUAUCACCAUAUCCACCUUCCACGAUUCAAUAUAACCAAACCAUGAUAAAUAGUCCGUAACUCUAUUUCCAUCACCUUUCAAUAACAACCAAUACGUAUAAUCCUCUAUCACACAUAUACAUAUGGAAAAGAAUAAAGGAAAACAAUAUUCACCUUCUGAUUAUGCAAUCCUGUUUGCACAAAUAAUAGGAGCCGUUCAAAGCUCUCGAGAUGACAAACGCAGUUAUCGGAUUACUUUGGUAUUUCUACGGUUGAAUCAAAAGUAAUUUAAAGGUCAAAUUUGGCUAGGGUUUGUUCUUUCUCAAUGAUUGAUGAUGAAAAUGAGUUUUUGAACUCAUAUACAUGUAUAUAUACACAUAUUCCCGUCCAUAAUAUAAUAGGAAAUGACCAAAAUGCCUUUAAAAUUUAAAUAAUGUCAAAUCUAUCCUUUGGUGGACUGUUUUGAUAAGCUAAAGUAGAUCGACCAUAACUCUUUGCUCCGAUAUCNNNNNNNNNNNNNNNNNNNNNNNNNNNNNNNNNNNNNNNNNNNNNNNNNNNNNNNNNNNNNNNNNAAGUUGACCCUAAAAAUCUGUUUUGAUAGGCCGAAGUAAAACGAGUAUAACUCCUUACUCAGACGUUGGAUUUGAAUGAAACCAAUUGCAUUGGAAAGAAGACUCAAAUAUAUUUCUUUUCAUAGGUCUCAUCUCUCUCAUUUAAUUAAAUUAAGGUAGUUAUGAUCAUUCGAAGUUGACCCAAAAAUUCGGCUGGGCUCAGUAGUUUGUGUGUAGGAAAUUUUCCUGCACAUUUACUAUUCCCAAAUAUCCCGGCCACCGUUUUAUAGUUUCAAACGUGGUCGAUUAUAUCCGACACCUAUACAUUUUUGGAAAUCUUUAUAUCGUUGGAAAGCUUAUUCAAUAACCUUUGUAUGGAACCAUUGACGGGCAAAUUCCGGUAUAAAUAAAAUAAAAAAAAUUAAUUCCAUAUAAAUAAGACCAAUACACGUACUUGAAUACGCCAAUGCACGUACUUGAACAUGGGGUGUUACAACAAGUUCGUUAAGUACAUCACAAAAAAACAAAUGGACAAAUAAAAACUUCAACCAAGGAACAUCGCGUUUAUGAAAUAUAAAGCAAUUCAGAAUAAUACAUACAUGCAAUAUCUCGUACUUGCUAGAUUUUUGUCUAAUUGAAUAGCUUUCCUUAUAGUUUCGGUAGUGAGCUACAUUGUAUGAGGUGUUCCAUCAUAAAGUAUUUGAUAAACUGAUUUUUAUUGAUGUUCUUCUAUUUCAAUUGCCGGGGGUCUACCGGAAACAACCUCUCUACUUCUUCGGGGGUAGCGGUAUGGACUCUGUACAUUUUACCCUCCCCAGAUACACUGGGCUUCUUGUUGUUGGUGUUCUAUUUCAAUUGGUCUGCUUCUAAACAUCUUGGAUUAUCAUUCUCAUACCACAACAUUCUUCCUUUGCUGUUACCAUUUUAACUAUCUUAUCGUAAGACUUGAAGCGUGUGUUGCCAUGCAAACCUUUUUCCUUCUAAGAGUGUUUAGCAUGCUGGACUAUGUAAGGAGUGGUUGUCCUGACCAAUUCAUUGAGCAUCCUAUGAAUUCUAUCGAUGGAAACCUUUAGACAUCUUCAUUCUUAUCUGCAUGAAUGCUGGUUUGCAUCUGAUGGAAGAUUGUUUCAACAGAAUAAUAUAUAUGCCCCAAUGUCUUAACUCAAGGUUUGAGUUUGAAGGACCAAGAAUCCGCAAGACGAGCUUAAAAAAAAAAAAUGACAUGAGCUGACAAGUAGGAUUGAACUGAAGUAGAAAUUUAGAACUUUCUCGUUGGAGUCACACGUGAAGUAGUUUUCUUUCCUCUUAGCAAUAGAAAAGAAGAACCAGUAAGUACUUCGCACCUAUGAUUUUCCCUGUAUCAAUAACACUACUUUCUUGAAGUGGAUAAUCUGGACGCGAAGAGGUAUACAUCUCUCUACCAAAUAUUCAUUUUGAUGAAUAGGCAUUAUGGAAUAUGGACACGCUUAAAUGUCGAGUUAAAGAAGUUAUGUCAUCAAAUAGUUGCUCCAAUCUUUCCUAUCGAACCAAGCACAUUUAGAUACAAAAUCUUCGACUCAUCUUAUAAUUUAUUAUAUGAAAAGUUUUACUUGAUGGUAAGAUAUGCUUGGAGAAUAUUCUUCUAAUCUGAUGAUAGACGGUUAUUUUUCCGUUGCAGGUGAAUUUGAUAGCUAAACUAAGCCAUCCAUGUCUAUUAGAGUUCAAAGAAGCUUGGGUGGACAAGGUAUCCUAUCAUGUGGUUGAUUGGAUCAGAAAGUGCAAAAUGUAGCCUUUAAUAGUUGCGAUUAUUGCUGCAUAAGCUGCACCAGAGAAAAAGCUCGACUUUCUUUUUCUUUCAGGGGAGCUGUAUAUGCAUUGUUGCCGAUUAUUACGAAGAUGAAAAUAUGUGAGUGAUUAUCCCUGAUUUUGCUAACAUUUUAAAUGUGUACCUAUUAGGAAUGAUAAGAAUAAAGAACAAAAGGAGCCACUAAACGAGGGAAGGGAAAACAAUUGUUAAGUAAAAUUCUUCAUCAUUGUCACCGGCUAUAUUUUAUCGUAAAAUAUGGCUAACCGGUGUUUGUAGAGCGCAACCUUUUGCCAAGAUCAUGGCUGUUUUCAGCCUGUGUUGUAAGCACAUCCAGGUAUCUGGAGAAUGAAAGACCUCAGAUUUCAUAAAUACUCCCUCGUACAAAGAACGAUAGAAGGGGUAAUGAGGUUGAAAAUAAAGAAAUGAAUAGGAUGAUCAUAGAACUUCUUUUGUAGUGUAAUUUGUGGAUGGUGACGAUUUUUUUUCCCCGUGUUCAGGGCGGAGGUCAUGAGGAAGUCUAGAGGAGCACUUUUCCCGGAAGAGAUAGUUAAAUGCGAUUUCAAUACUUAUGAAGCUUCUCUGUGCCUUCCCGGUAGCAUAAAAAAUUGUGUGUUUUUAUGUUGUUUUUUUCCUGCUAUUAUAGAAACUUUGCAAAUGGCUGACUCAUCUAUUGUUAGCUUUGGAGCAUCUGCAUUCCAACCGCGUUCAUCAUAGAGACCUCAAGGUAAAAACUUUCUGUACUCGGCGAAAUAGAAAAGCCUUCUUAGCAUGAAACGUUUUUAACAUGAACUAUUUAGAAUUCAGUUAUGGAACAUAUUCAUCACAAAGGAAAAUGACAUCAGGUUAGGUAAGAAUGCCAGAACAAUUGCUUGAUUGGGUCGUCUUUGCUUCUUUACUAUCCUUCAAAUUCACUUGAUUGUCACAGGUGAUUUUGGAUUAGGAAAAUUGCUAGAUGCAGAAGGCCUUGCUUCCUCGGUAUGAAUUUCUAUUGCGGCAAAAUGAACCUCUUACUUACAUGCAAGUUUCGACCAUCUAUUGUCACCUAACAAUCGAUUCAGCAUAUCUAUUUAGCAAGAGAGAAAUCCCUUCUCCCUCCAAGACCGAGAAAACCUAAAAUUUGCUUUUAUUUUCGGUCAUAGGUACCAAAAUGUUGUGGUGGUCAUCUUACUUUUUAUCAAAAAAAAAUAUUGUGGUAUUCAUCAUAUUACAAAGCUCCUGUCGCCAUAGCACCUAGCUUAAUGCAUUUGAGAAAAAGAUAUCGAGUUGUACAACUAAUCCUUAAUUUUGGAACAAAUUUCAUGUAAUAGGUAUCUGGCACACCAAACAACAUGUGCCCUGAGCUCCUUGCCCGCAUACCCUAUGGCUAUAAAUCUGAUAUAUGGUCGCUUGUUAAGAAUUAAGAAUGUUGAUGAAGCAAUGUAUUUCAGCUCUUUAAUCAUGUCCCUAAUACUAACACUUUAAUGUGAUUUUAGGACACUGUAUGUUUGACAUUGCUGCACAUCAAACCCCGUUUAAAGCUUCUGUGAGUUGAUUUUUAAGCUAUCUGAACUUCGUAAACAAUACCUCGAAAAGUUAUACUUGUUACAAAAAAAAAGAAAGAAGAAAGCUCUUUAUCCUGAUACCUUCUAUAUGAUAUAGUGACAAUGUAAAUCCAACAGGACAAAACUGGACUUAUCAACAAAAUAAACCGGGGUUUGUUCUCACCACUUCCGAUUAUAUACUCCUCCACCUUGUAAGUAUCUUCCUUCUCAGCACGCCACAAGUAUAACAAAUUAGUCAGUUGACAAAGCGGAUUUAAUUCUUGUAGGAAACAGAUAAUAAAAAGCAUCCUAAGGAAAACUCCAGAACACCGACCUACAGUGAGCUACAUAUGUUCAAAUGUUAUUCUUUCCGUUUCACUCUGUUAAGUCUUAUUUUCCUUUUUAGUCCACUUAAAAGCGAAUGCUUCUUUCCUUUUACAACAACUCCUUAAUUCUAACUUUCUAUGUGGCAUGUUUAAAGAUCACAAACUUAAAUUACAUUUUGAUACAUUCUGCAUACCUUUAUUUUAAGACCACAAGAUUCAAGUCUUCUUUUCUUUCUUAAACUUCGUGCCAAAUCAAAACCAGAAAAACAAAAUGAAACGGAGGGAGUAUGAAAUUGAGAUUCAUCUUGAUAUAUUUUUUUACCUCUACUUAUAGGCUGCCGAGCGGUUGAGACAUCAACAUUUGCAACAAUACCUCCUCUUUUGUCACAAACCUUCAUCUGCAUUUCUUCCUGUGAAGUCCCCGAGCAGAACGAAAGAGAAAACACAACCAUCAAUCCGAGAGGUAGAAGAGACAGACAGUUGAAGCUAAAAGAGAAGAGAACUGCCCUUUACUUUGACGAAAGUGAUAACAUUCAGCCAAGAAACUUAUCUGACAAUUAUAACACGUUCCAAGCCAAACUUGACACUAAGAGAGUCGAUCCAACAAGCUACUCGGUUAGGAUCUCUCAAGAUAGUGAGGAUUCUAAAAGUGGGGAGAUGAGUGAGACAGCUGUUUGCAAUGGAUAUGAUCAACAGGAGACGAUCUCACAAACAGAAACUACGAUCACUCCAAGCUCGUCAAGUUCAAGGGCAAAAACAUGGUCCGAGGAACAAGAGCAUUUUUCUCCGGAGCAUGUUAGUCGAUUUGACGAGGGUGAUACGAAGAAUAACAAGACAAAAGAGCUUGAGGUGUUGAGCAGUCCACUGGACCAUGAGGAGGCAGAUAUAGUGGAAUGUAUCUCCGUAAAAUAUAGAAGAAUGACAUUGUCUGAUGGAAGAUUCAAUGAUAAAACACGAUCGUUCGAUGAAGAAAGCACUUCAUCUAAUUCACAGUCGGCAAAACCAGAUCGAGAGGCAGCACCAGGAUGCUGUGUUGCUGAAACUGAAAAUGGUAGCGAGUGUAGAGAAGUUGCUAUUGACUGCUUGUCAACUGAAAUCGAUGGUUCACUUCUACACAAAGACGAGCUAGAAAAGAAAGCAACCGUGGUUUAUGAUACCAAACAGGCUAAGAAAGACGUCGAGCACUGGAUGAUAAGGUUUCGCAGCUCAAGUCACUAGCCGCAUUAGCUAGUAAGGAGGAAAAAGACGACUGGGGUAAUCCCACUGAACAAAGAGCUGAAGCUUUAGAGUCUCUUUUGGAGGUUUGUGCCCGACUACUUAAGACGGAAAAAAUCGAUGAGCUUGCUGGUGUGCUGAAACCAUUCGGGGAUGAUGGAAAUUCAUCUAGAGAAACAGUAAUCUGGUUGACAAAAAGUCUCAUGACUGCACAAAAGUUGUUCAAGGGGUCGUGACGUUGCACAAAACCUGCCUUUUGACCUAUAGAACGAGCCUCUGUCUUACGUAAAUCAUCAAGUAUUGUUGGACUAAACUAUUCCUCGAGGCUUAACGUGGUUGAGCAUCCCAUAGUUUUGAUUCUAUUGUUGUAGGACAUUUGAUGGAGCUUUGAAGAUUAUAUAUAAUGUACUUUUAAAGUUGAUUUCUACUCUAUGAUGAUACUUACCACAUUUUCUACUGUUAGUUUUUUCUCCAAAACUACCUGCAGACAAAGAUUAUACAUUUCUUCAGCUUCUUAGAUAUGAUUGUUUUAUUAUCGGAGUCGAUUUCUAAUAUAGUCACUCAACUAAUAGUAUUAUCUCAGAAAGUCACGUUCUGAGAAUCAAGAAAGGUGAUUUUCUGAGGUAUUAACUAUUAGUUGAGUGACUAUCAAAGAGGUCAGCGCGAUAUUAUAGUUGUCUUAUAAAAAAGGUAUCAACAAUCAAACUGUUCCUUUUAAUAUUCCAUUCCUCCAACCUCAAGCCUCUUGUGAAAUGAAUUUAAUAUUUUUAAAAAGUUUUUUUUUUAUACUAUUAUUAUAGUUUCCCUCAUGCACAUUUUGCCAAUUUAUAAUAAUUCUAUCUUGAUUAUCAUAAUUUAUUGGUAUGAUGUCACUUUUCUUAUACUUUUCCUUGUCCCGUUCAAAGUCCUCUCGCUCCCUUUCCCUGUCAGAUAUCCUACCACUGUCACAUUCAUGAGACUUUAGUCUUCCUUGAUCCUUACUCUUUAUAAAAUUUAUUGUCCUUUAUCUGUGACAUUUAUUUUUCUUUCAUAUCAUUGAUUUGUUUUUUCUAUUUAUACUUUACUGUUUAUGGUCGUUGACUGGUGUACACUGUAUUUGAAAGUUUGCAUCUGAAGUUUUCUUGGUAUUGAUAUCCUCACUUUAGGAUGUUAUUCAUUGAGACAAUGGUAACUUCCGUGUUAUGUUUGUUAAAUUUAGUGUUUUGUGACUCACUCUCACUGUUGUCGAGUGACUGAACAUUUAAUCAUAAGCUGACAGUGUGAUGAUCUGUGUUUAUGUUGAAAUAUCACAGAACAUGGGCUAGCCUAUGUACUUCCGGUGAAGAGAGAGUUGAAUGGUGGGAAAGCAAAUAGGAGUGUGUCAUCUGUGUUGACCUACCUAAAAAAAUGAAAGGGUCGGGCUGUUAACUUUACUGUUUUGUGGUGGUUGUUGAAGACUAGCUUCUUGAAGAGCUCUCAGAGAGGUACAUUGCAUCAGCUUGAUAUUGGUUGGAAACUAAUUAUUCGGUGCGGGAGUAAAUAAGUGCAGAAACUAAAAACAAAAUUGUAGGAAAUUGUUUUGUUGUGUAUUUUCAAUUUUGUGGUAAUACAUGUGAAGUGGAAAUACGUUGAAGCUGAGGUCGACAAUAUUCAAUACUCGAAAGAUUAACAGAAAACAGUUUGCUGUGGAGUGAACUUCAGAUCAUGGUGCUUCUAAAAGGAUCAAACAUUCAUCAAGACAAAGUGAAAUGGACAUUUUCUACUCAUGUUUAGAGUUUGUAAAAAAUAUGCUUGUUAUACUGCUUGUUCAGACAUACAAUAUUUUCUUACUUGAUGUUGUUGCAUUCGAAUUUGGAAAGCAAAUUACACGGCUAACUUGUUAAUGUAGGAUAUCAUAUCAUGUACGAUGUCGGAAAUGCACUCCUAUAAAUGUACCGUGAGUGUGAAGUAUUGACGAGGCAUAUGACGCAUUAGAGGAAAUAGCGGAGAAGGAUGUUGUCUCUUGUGUAGCUCACUGUUUCAAUCAAUUUUAAGUUCUAAACAAAAGAAGUUUGAUCUUUGUAGUUGUGUUUNNNNNNNNNNNNNNNNNNNNNNNNNNNNNNNNNNNNNNNNNNNNNNNNNNNNNNNNNNNNNNNNNNNNNNNNNNNNNNNNNNNNNNNNNNNNNNNNNNNNNNNNNNNNNNNNNNNNNNNNNNNNNNNNNNNNNNNNNNNNNNNNNNNNNNNNNNNNNNNNNNNNNNNNNNNNNNNNNNNNNNNNNNNNNNNNNNNNNNNNNNNNNNNNNNNNNNNNNNNNNNNNNNNNNNNNNNNNNNNNNNNNNNNNNNNNNNNNNNNNNNNNNNNNNNNNNNNNNNNNNNNNNNNAGUAAUAUGAACAAUGAGUUGUCGAAGAAAACUGGUUUACCCAACCAAAAAGAAUAAAUUGCUCUCUGUGGUUUAAAAUAAUUUUGAUACUGUAAAAAUAAAAGUCUGAAAGUUUAAAUUUUGAUUGAAGUGAUAAGGCUUUCACUUUAAAAAAACAAAUACUAAAAAAGAAGUAUUAAUAUAUUUAAAAUCCAGUGGGUCCAAUAAAGGUGAAAAGGUAAUUGUGCCUUUGAAAAAUUUCCAAAUAAGGAAAGACGACAUUUAUUUUGGGACAGGCGACACAUAAUUUGGGUCGGAGGUAGCAACAGAUUUUUGCCUAUGCAUCCAUUUAGGCUUAUUGGGUUUCCUUUCAAAUUGUUCUUACAUUUCAACCAUUUUUCAUUUUGUGCUUGUAAUGUUCUACUUCAAACAGAUGUUCACGAAGGGAUUGUUCUUAAUAUUCAUAAAUGCAAAAGCACAAGUAUAAUAAGUCGAAUCAGAUGCCGAAUCAAUGAUUUGUACAAAAUACUUUGCUUGACAUUAUUGAGUCAAGAGUUAUCACAUGAGAACAGCACUGAUAGGCUUGCAAUAAAGUCUUAAAAAGAGGAGCUACUAAUAGUUCCACCAAAUUUAUCUAGAACUGUAAAGGUCUAAAACAACUUCAUCUACUAAUUCUAGGAGAAUAUGCCUAGCAACUUCAGCGCCACAUUCAUAUUCUUCAAUCUCGAAGUCCGUACAUUUACCUAAAGAAUGGCUCAUAUCCCAUUCUAUUAGCUCGUCUGGGUUCAAACCAACAAAUUGUGUCCACUCUUCGACCUCAUCAAGAAUAUGAGCAAUCAGAAUCUCUUUGGUCAUACUUGAUGGUAGUUUGGUACAGGUUCUGAAAACAGAAUCAGAGAUUGGAGAAAAUUUUCAGUCUAGGUAAUCUAAUAGACAAUCAAAGGCGAAUCCUUUAAGCUGAUUCAUCUGUUUUGGGUCAUUACAGCCAAGCAACUCACCGAAAGCCAUGCACAAAAAACUCGAAAACAUUUCAUGUUCAUUGAGGAGAAAAUGGCUCACAGAGAAGCCAUCCUCUACAGGUAGAGCCAGCUGUUGAGGUGUAGUUCCAAAUAUGAGUUCAGCAUUCAAAAUGACCUAUUUUGCGUAGCUGAGUUUGCUUCCUUUUAACUGAUCAAUCUUGCUGAGCACUCCAGAAACGUUAUGAAUCAGUUCUCUGCAACUCCUCCUGGUGGAUAAUGAG
rnacentral:lncRNA from 1 species